AAUUUAAGCAUAUCAUUAAGCGGAGGAAAAGAAACUAACCAGGAUUCCCUUAGUAACGGCGAGUGAACAGGGAAAAGCCCAGCACCGAAGCCUGUGGCCGUUUGGUCUCUAGGCAAUGUGGUGUUCAGGUCAGCUCGCAGAGAUACUGCUCCACCCUAAGUCCUGUAAUGAGUAAGGUUACUGGAGCGGCCCACAGAGGGUGAAAGGCCCGUGGGGGUGGAGAUGCAGAUGAGUCAGUGUCUCUAUGAGUGGACCUUGGAGUCGGGUUGUUUGUGAAUGCAGCCCAAAGUGGGUGGUAAACUCCAUCCAAGGCUAAAUACUGGCACGAGUCCGAUAGCGAACAAGUACCGUGAGGGAAAGUUGAAAAGUACUUUGAAGAGAGAGUAAACAGUGCGUGAAACCGCUCAAAGGUAAACGGGUGGAGUUGAACUGCAAGCUCCGGGAAUUCAACUGGUGAGUGUGAUGUGAGCUUGGCACAUAGUUGUACAUCUGGGUCUGCUUAGCUGCAGGUCUCCGCCUCUGGUGGGGAUGCGCGAAUCACUUAUCAUGUGUUGUGCGCCCGGGCUGUGUCGAACUGGCUCGCCAGUGCACUUUCUCGGAGUAGUCACCACGACCGGCGUUGCUGCCUUGCUGUUGCGGUUAAACCGGCCUUGUAGGGUCCCUGUGGCCUUGCUUGGUCGGGAUGGCAGGUAGCCCGUUGUGUACUUCUGUGCGCCUCGGGUGUAAUAGCUGACUGCAUCGGUUUUGUGCGGUACGUCGGAGACGGCGGCUUGUUGUGCGUGCGUGCGUACCUUGUGCGCUGGCGGCGCUGGGUCCGGUUGCCAUGUUGCUUGUGAAUGCAGGCCUGGUGAUGGCUCGGUGUUGUUCGGUGUGCGGAUGCGUGUGUGGCACUUAA
rnacentral:rRNA from 1 species